rnacentral:lncRNA from 1 species
GGGAACUCCUACAUUCUCUUUUUCAUACUCAAAACAACCUUGUGAGGUAGGUUGUAUUUAUUAUCAGCUCUACUUUUCAGAGGGAAAAACUGAGACUCAGGCAAGGAAGCUUGCCAAGGUCAAAGAGUGAGUCAUUGGCAACGGCCAAAAGGAGCCCAUUCUGCUCAAUGACAUUCUGAGUCUAAUGAGCCAGAUCCUAGCCAGGUGCUGGGGAGGAGGCGACCGCAGGGCGAGGCCCCGCCCCUCUCCCAGCCGGGCCUUCCCACCGUGGUUCCUCCCACCGCUGGCGUCAAGGACAGGCUGAGCCCUGGUCGCCACCUGGACCGUGGCUCCCUCUGUGCCGGCCAGGUUCUCCCACCAGGCCCUGGCCUUUCCCAGCUGAGGCAAAUCGUUGUCCCACAGACGUCUCUCCCCCUUGAAAGAUAAAAUGUUUCUGAAGGAUUCCUGGCCGUGUUUCCUUGCGAUAAGCUGGCUGCCUUUUCCUGAACCCACUCUACCCCGGGCAAGUGCAGGAGCCACCUCGGGAGAAAGAGGAUGUGAUGGAGGAAUGUCCCUCAGGCAGAAGAGGAGGGGCGAAGCCGGCCCUUCUUCCUCAGGAACCGAAAGUCUGCUGCGUUUGAAAUUAAGAGCACCCUUGGUGGAUAAAGAAGAUGUGGUACAUAUACACAAUGGAAUAUUACUUAACCAUUAAAAGGAAUGAAAUACCGGCAUUUUUAGCAACCUGGAUGGACCUAGAAAUUAUCAUGCUAAGUGAAGUCAGUCAGACACUAAGACACCAACAUCAAAUGCUUUCACUGACAUGUGGAAUCUGAAAAAAAGGACAGAAUGAACUUUGCAGAACAGAUACUGACUCACAGACUUUGAAAAACUCAUGGUUUCCAAAGGAGACAGUUCAGGGGUUGAGGGGAUGCGCUGGGGGUGUGGGAUGGAAAUCCUAUAAAACUGGAUUGUGAUGAUCACUGUACAACUAUAAAUGUAAUAAAUUCAUUGAGUAAGAGAAAAAAUUUAAAAAA